rnacentral:rRNA from 1 species
UACGUAGGGUGCAAGCGUUGUCCGGAAUUAUUGGGCGUAAAGAGCUCGUAGGCGGUCUGUCGCGUCGGCUGUGAAAUCCCGGAGCUCAACUCCGGGUCUGCAGUCGAUACGGGCAAACUGGAGUACUGCAGGGGAGACUGGAAUUCCUGGUGUAGCGGUGAAAUGCGCAGAUAUCAGGAGGAACACCGGUGGCGAAGGCGGGUCUCUGGGCAGUAACUGACGCUGAUGCACGAAAGUGUGGGGAUCAAACAGG